AACGAACGCUGGCGGCAUGCUUAACACAUGCAAGUCGAACGGAUUUAUAGCGCAAGUUAUGAAUCAGUGGCAGACGGGUGAGUAACGCGUGGGAACGUACCUUUUGGUUUGGAAUAACUAUGGGUAACUAUAGCUAAUACCGAAUACGCCCUAAGGGGGAAGGAUUUAUUGCCGAGAGAGCGGCCCGCGUUAGAUUAGGUAGUUGGUGGGGUAAAGGCCUACCAAGCCGAUGAUCUAUAGCUGGUCGGAGAGGAUGAUCAGCCACACUGGGACUGAGACACGGCCCGUACUCCUACGGGAGGCAGCAGUGGGGAAUAUUGGACAAUGGUGGCAACCCUGAUCCAGCAAUGCCGCGUGAGUGAAGAAGGCCUUCGGUUUGUAAAGCUCUUUUAUCAGGGACGAUGAUGACGGUACCUGAGGAAUAAGCUCCGGCUAACUUCGUGCCAGCAGCCGCAGUAA
rnacentral:rRNA from 1 species